AGCUCCAAUAGCGUAUAUUAAAGUUGUUGCAGUUAAAAAGCUCGUAGUUGGAUUUCAAUGAGGGGGACUAGAGUCCGUGGGUCGAAAGGCCUCGGGCGUAUUAUUAGUUUAGCUCCUUGUUUUCUAUUUGAGGUGGGCACUGCGAGAUUAAGUUCUAGCGGGGUCUGUUAGCCUCAAUCGUUUACUGUGAAAAAAUUAGA
rnacentral:rRNA from 1 species